rnacentral:tRNA from 1 species
AAGGGUAUAGCUCAGUGGCAGAGUGUGUGCCUGGCAUGCACAAGGUCCUAGAUUCAAUCUCCAGUACCUUCA